rnacentral:rRNA from 1 species
ACUACGGGAGGCAGCAGUGGGGAAUAUUGCACAAUGGGGGAAACCCUGAUGCAGCGACGCCGCGUGAGUGAAGAAGUAUUUCGGUAUGUAAAGCUCUAUCAGCAGGGAAGAAAAUGACGGUACCUGACUACGAAGCCCCGGCUCACUACGUGCCAGCAGCCGCGGUACUACGUAGGGGGCAAGCGUUAUCCGGAUUUACUGGGGGUAAAGGGAGCGUAGACGGCAGCGCAAGUCUGAAGUGAAAUCCCAUGGCUUAACCAUGGAACUGCUUUGGAAACUGUGCAGCUGGAGUGCAGGAGAGGUAAGCGGAAUUCGUGGUGUAGCGGUGAAAUGCGUAGAUAUGAGGAGGAACACCAGUGGCGAAGGCGGCUUACUGGACUGUAACUGACGUUGAGGCUCGAAAGCGUGGGGAGCAAACAGGAUUAGAUACCCUAGUAGUC